rnacentral:lncRNA from 1 species
GCAUGAAAUAAUCGGCACUCUCUGACCCUUGCGAGGUAGGUUGCAAGGAUCAUGAGGUUGGAACUCAUAAUCUAUUUGUAGUCGCAAGGAUCAUGAUGUUAAAACCCAUGAUCUAUUUGUAGUGAAAGCCUUAUUUAUAGAAAGGGAUAUAUUGAUGGACCCUGUUCUUUUAACUAACACAAUACUAUUGGAGAAAUUCUUGGAUAAGCCUUAUGUUUCAAAAGUGGCAGAUCCAUAUUUAUCGAUAAUGAUCUUGUUCAACCACUACAAGAAAUUCAUAUAUCAG